ensembl:snoRNA SNORD107 small nucleolar RNA, C/D box 107
GAUUCAUGAUGAUACAGGACCUUGUCUGAACAUAAUGAUUUCAAAACUUGAGCUUAAAAAUGACACUCUGAAAUC